AACGAACGCUGGCGGCAUGCCUAACACAUGCAAGUCGAACGAGACCUUCGGGUCUAGUGGCGCACGGGUGCGUAACACGUGGGAAUCUGCCCUUGGGUUCGGAAUAACAGCGAGAAAUUGCUGCUAAUACCGGAUGAUGACGUAAGUCCAAAGAUUUAUCGCCCAAGGAUGAGCCCGCGUAGGAUUAGCUAGUUGGUGAGGUAAAGGCUCACCAAGGCGACGAUCCUUAGCUGGUCUGAGAGGAUGAUCAGCCACACUGGGACUGAGACACGGCCCAGACUCCUACGGGAGGCAGCAGUGGGGAAUAUUGGACAAUGGGCGAAAGCCUGAUCCAGCAAUGCCGCGUGAGUGAUGAAGGCCCUAGGGUUGUAAAGCUCUUUUACCAGGGAUGAUAAUGACAGUACCUGGAGAAUAAGCUCCGGCUAACUCCGUGCCAGCAGCCGCGGUAAU
rnacentral:rRNA from 1 species